rnacentral:rRNA from 1 species
UACGUAGGCAGCGAGCGUUGUUCGGAGUUACUGGGCGUAAAGGGUGUGUAGGCGGUUUUCUAAGUUUGGUGUGAAAUCUCCCGGCUCAACCGGGAGGGUGCGCCGAAAACUGGGAGACUAGAGUGCGGGAUGGGAGAGUAGAAUUCCUGGUGUAGCGGUGAAAUGCGUAGAGAUCGGGAAGAACAUCAGUGGCGAAGGGCGGUCUGCUGGGCCGUUGCUGACGCUGAGGCGCGACAGCGUGGGGAGCAACAGG